UCCUCUCUGUUGGAACAAAUUGAUUAGGUUAGGUUUAAAUUUUCGCGAAAACUUUAUAUUAUUAGAAUUUUUCGAAAAGAAUCGUAAAAAAAUAAAAGACAGUCGAGUGGAAUUUUACAAAUGUUUCUAUAUAAUGUUAUGAAAAAAUAAAAUGAAAAACGUUUGCCAAAUUUAUUCAUCGAUUCCAACUUUAAAAAUCCACAAAGAAAAUAAAACCUGGAUCAAACGCAAAAUCAAUUGAACACUAACCUCCAAUUUGUUCUUUCCUCUGAAACCGAUCCAGGAGAAGGAGAAAGAGAGGGGACGAAAUGGCAUCGUACACAAAGUUACCAGCAUUUUGAGGAGCUCGUAUAAACGCUCGUGAGAAAAAUGGUUGUUGUAUUUUGCGCGUGGUGGCAGCAUCGUUGGUCGUUGUGCAAUGGCGAAGAAGAAGAAGGGAGCGUGAACAGAGUGACAGAAGGCGAGAUAAUUCUCUUUCCUUAAACAGCUGCAAUUUUCGUGGAACGAUCGUUGAUUGGUUAUCGUUCUGUUAAACAUAUAUAUCCGGGGUUUUAUUGCUACUUGUAUUUGCCUGAUGUUUUACGAGAUUAGUUAGAAGAAACUGCGAAUAAAAUCGGGGAACGAUGAUACCCGGCUACGUUGGGCCCGAUCAUCGAAAGAUUCAUAAUGGCGCGUUAGAUGGAUAUGAGAAGAGGUGUGAAAGUUUUAUGAAGCUGUUUCGGCAAUUGGCUUUAGGUUUUAUGAUUUCAGGGUUGGAUUUCGUUGAACGAUCAAUGGAACGAAUAUUCCCGAUUGCUUUGCCGGAUUGUGGAUUUUGCGAAACGGGGAUACGCAUGUGAUUUAUUUUAAAGGCAUUCAUUAAUCCCUCGAACGAUUAUUACAUUCUAUUUAAAGUCGUUGUAUAAACAGUGGGUACGAAGAUUAUUAA